rnacentral:lncRNA from 1 species
UCUUGGCUGUGAUAAAGUUUCAAAGUAGUAAUCUUGUGAAAUUAUCAAAUCAAAUGCCAAAAACUGAGAAUCACCUGUGGAUUUUACUGAGCUGACUUCACAAAGGAGUGGAGCCAAAGUCCCCCAAACAAACCCUAGUUCACAAAAACUCAGCAGAGCCAUGUGGUGGGCACACAAUCUCAUGUUCAUGGUACAAUCCAGAUGCUCAGGAGAAACAUGUGGGUGAUUAUUCACACAGCUUGGCUGUGCAUGAGGAGUCCUGUAUAUACAUAUUAAACACACACACACACACACAUAAACAGGACACAUAUGUACAUACACACAAUAAGCAUGCACUAAACACCAUCAGCGAGUCAGGGAGAAUGGAGGCACCAUUAAACCAGGGUGUAGCUAAUGGAUUUGUAUUUGGACAGACUUGUUUUCCUAUUGGCAUUUGUGUUCCAUUCUCACUGGCAGCUUGGUAGGUACUAGGCUCAUGAUUUUAAAGUAGACAAAUGAUUGAGUUUCAGAAAGACCAUGGGUUGACCUGCAGGGGAAAUGCAGCAACAGAACCAGAUCCAGCCAGAAGAGAAAAGAUAAUGUGGAAAACCAGCAGAAUGGACUCGUGAUUUAGAGAGAGGCUGAGACUGAUCAUAUGAUGAAUGUCAGUGAAGAAUAGCUGCAUCCCAGAACUCAGGGUGCAGAAGCCGAGGACGCUGCUCUUCACUAGCAAUGCUGGUAUCUCAGUGACAGGGACAGAAAUGACCAAAUCUCUGGUCUUGGAAACAUGGGUCCUUAUAAUCAGGUAGUGUCCAUGAGAGAAAACUGUCAGAUAAAAUGUCUUCCUAGUACCAUCUGGCCUCUAACACUCUAUGGAAGCUUGACUUCCCCACUCUUGAGUUUCAACAGUCAAGGACAUGGGACAUGUAUUUUACAUGAGAGUGUAAUAAUCAGUCUAUGUUUUACACAGGCAAAACUGAUAUCAAUAAGAUGUCUACAUAUAAGGUUGUUUGGUUGCACGAGCAAGUAAGAUCUUCAUAGACAGGAGUCUCUUGUUCUUCAAGGUUGGUGCUUCCCCCACUUUGUGCAACAUGGGAUCCACGAAGACCCUGACCAUAGUUACUGAGUGACCAAAUCAUUAGACUAGAUUCUCUCAGUUUAAUCAUUCUAUCAGGCAAAAGAGAAGAAUCAUCAGGUUUUCCUAGUACCUUUUAUAGAUGGUAUAUUGAUCACAUUUUCCCUUUCUUAUUAUUCUUCUCUCACACUUUACAUCCUGACCACAGUUUCUGCUUCAUCCACUCUCCCUCCUCCCCUACCUCUCCUCUUCCCCAGAUCCAAUGUUCCCCAUUUCCCUCAAAAAAGAAUAGACAUCCCAGAAAUAUCAAUCUAACUGAGCAUAACAAGAUAUAAUAAGACCAGGCACAAAGCCUCAUAUCAAGGUUGGAAUAGGCAACCCAUUAGGAGGGAAAGGGCCCCAAGAACAGGCAAAAGAGUCAGAGACACCCAACACUCCCACUGUUAGAACUCCCAUAAGAACACCAAGUACUUCUGCUACCAUCCUUAUACCAGUAUUUUCAAGUGAAUUC